GACAAACGCUGGCGGCGUGCUUAACACAUGCAAGUCGAACGGUAAGGCCCUUCGGGGUACACGAGUGGCGAACGGGUGAGUAACACGUGGGUGAUCUGCCCUGCACUUCGGGAUAAGACUGGGAAACUGGGUCUAAUACCAGAUAGGACCACUGCCUGCAUGGGUGGUGGUGGAAAGCUUUUGCGGUGUGGGAUGGGCCCGCGGCCUAUCAGCUUGUUGGUGGGGUGAUGGCCUACCAAGGCGACGACGGGUAGCCGGCCUGAGAGGGUGGCCGGCCACACUGGGACUGAGAUACGGCCCAGACUCCUACGGGAGGCAGCAGUGGGGAAUAUUUCACAAUGGGCGCAAGCCUGAUGCAGCGACGCCGCGUGAGGGAUGACGGCCUUCGGGUUGUAAACCUCUUUCAGCACCGACGAAGCGCAAGUGACGGUAGGUGCAGAAGAAGGACCGGCCAACUACGUGCCAGCAGCCGCCGUAA
rnacentral:rRNA from 1 species